rnacentral:rRNA from 1 species
CCUACGGGUGGCAGCAGUGAGGAAUAUUGGUCAAUGGACGCAAGUCUGAACCAGCCAUGCCGCGUGCAGGAUGACGGCUCUAUGAGUUGUAAACUGCUUUUGUACGAGGGUAAACCCCGAUACGUGUAUCGGGUUGAAAGUAUCGUACGAAUAAGGCACGGCUAACUCCGUGCCAGCAGCCGCGGGAAGACGGAGGAUCCGAGCUGUAUCCGGAUUUAUUGGGGUUAAAGGGUGUGUAGGCGGUUGGAUAAGUUAGUGGUGAAAUGGUGGGGCUCAACCCCGAAACUGCCGCUAAGACUGUUGGACUAGAGAAUAGUUGCGGUAGGCGGAAUGUAUGGUGUAGCGGUGAAAUGCUUAGAGAUCAUACAGAACACCGAUUGCGAAGGCAGCUUACCAAACUAUAUCUGACGUUGAGGCACGAAAGCGUGGGUAGCAAACAGGAUUAGAUACCCCUGUAGUC